AUUGAACGCUGGUGGCAGGCCUAACACAUGCAAGUCGAGCGGUAGAGAGGUGCUUGCAUCUCUUGAGAGCGGCGGACGGGUGAGUAAUGCCUAGGAAUCUGCCUAGUGGUGGGGGAUAACGUUCGGAAACGGACGCUAAUACCGCAUACGUCCUACGGGAGAAAGCGGGGGAUCUUCGGACCUCGCGCCAUUAGAUGAGCCUAGGUCGGAUUAGCUAGUUGGUGAGGUAAUGGCUCACCAAGGCGACGAUCCGUAACUGGUCUGAGAGGAUGAUCAGUCACACUGGAACUGAGACACGGUCCAGACUCCUACGGGAGGCAGCAGUGGGGAANAUUGGACAAUGGGCGAAAGACCUGAUCCAGCCAUGCCGCGUGUGUGAAGAAGGUCUUCGGAUUGUAAAGCACUUUAAGUUAGGG
rnacentral:rRNA from 1 species